ACUUCGCUUGGAUGGGCUUUUACUUUGGGGGCUACCACCAUGGUUGCUUUGAUUGGUGCAUUGUUCUUUGCAGCUGUCUGUCAUUUCAGAUCACUAUGGAGAGAAAUUGAAGAUACAGUGAUAGGCGAAUUUAAUGAAUAUAAGAAGGAAGAUGCCGAGUUCCUGAAUGUCAUAAUAGGAGAUGUUCAAAUGUUGGAGAGAUAUUUCGGAAAAUAAUAUAGUGACAUCUGUGAAAAGAAUAUGCGGCAAUGACAAGAUUAUGAACUUUUCUUUUUAAAUUGUUGAAGCGAUGUUUAAAAAAAUAA